rnacentral:rRNA from 1 species
UACAGAGGGGCAAGCGUUAUUCGGAAUUAUUGGGCGUAAAGGGCGCGUAGGCGGCUUGGCAAGUGGAUGGUGAAAUCCCUCGGCUUAACCGAGGAACUGCCGUCCAAACUGCUUUGCUUGAGACCGGGAGAGGUGAGUGGAAUUCCCAGUGUAGCGGUGAAAUGCGUAGAUAUUGGGAGGAACACCAGUGGCGAAGGCGGCUCACUGGACCGGUACUGACGCUGAUGCGCGAAAGCGUGGGGAGCAAACGGGG